rnacentral:snoRNA from 1 species
UUAGAAUACAUUUAUGGCUGGCUGAUGAGCUCACAAGGGCAGGCAGUAUGCUACAUGAGGCCUAACUCUACCACCACCACCACUGGGGUCUCUGGCCCAAUGAGUGGAGUUUGGUAGUAAUUCCUGCUGCAAGU